rnacentral:rRNA from 1 species
CAGCGCCACGAGUGGCAACCAUAUUUAUUGGGCCUAAAGCGUCCGUAGCCGGUUUUGUAAAUUCUUUGUGAAAUCGUUUGGCUUAACCAAACGGCGUGCAGAGAAGACUGCAAAACUAGGGACCGGGAGGAGUCAGAAGUAUUUCUGGGGAAGCGGUAAAAUGCAAUAAUCCCAGAAGGACUACCUGUGGCGAAGGCGUCUGACUAGAACGGAUUCGACGGUGAGGGACGAAAGCCAGGGGAGCAAACAGGAUUAGAUACCCUGGUAGUCC